GUGUGUGUGUGUGUAUGUGUGUUUUUUUUUUCUUUUUUUAGCAGUACCUAAUGGAAUGGGGGUAGAGGCAGACGACGCUUUGCUUGACGAAGGACCACAGAGUUUGCCAGCCAUGCGUCUGUGAACAUUUUCGUAACUUCCGAACGGAAGACACACGUCU